rnacentral:rRNA from 1 species
CCUACGGGGGGCAGCAGUGGGGAAUAUUGCACAAUGGGGGAAACCCUGAUGCAGCGACGCCGCGUGAGUGAAGAAGUAUUUCGGUAUGUAAAGCUCUAUCAGCAGGGAAGAAAAUGACGGUACCUGACUAAGAAGCCCCGGCUAACUACGUGCCAGCAGACGCGGUAAUACGUAGGGGGCAAGCGUUAUCCGGAUUUACUGGGUGUUAAGGGAGCGUAGACGGCCAGACAAGUCAGAAGUGAAAGCCCAGGGCUCAACCCUGGGACUGCUUUUGAAACUGCCGGGCUGGAGUGAAGGAGAGGUAAGCGGAAUUCCUAGUGUAGCGGUGAAGUGCGUAGAUAUUAGGAGGAACACCAGUGGCGAAGGCGGCUUACUGGACUGUAACUGACGUUGAGGCUCGAAAGCGUGGGGAGCAAACAGGAUUAGAUUCCCAGUAGUC